UCCUUUUAUAAAAGUCAAGUACUUACAAGUA
rnacentral:piRNA from 1 species